rnacentral:rRNA from 1 species
GACGAAACGCUGGCGGCGUGCCUAACACAUGCAAGUCGAACGGGGGUAUUUAUUUCGAUGAAUACCUUAGUGGCGAACGGGUGAGUAACGCGUGAGCAACCUAUCCUUAAGAGGGGGGAUAACAUCUGGAAACAGAUGCUAAUACCGCAUAAGACCACACUGCCGCAUGGCAGAGGGGUCAAAGGAGCAAUCCGUUUAAGGAGGGGCUCGCGUCCCAUUAGAUAGUUGGUGAGGUAACAGCUCACCAAGUCAGCGAUGGGUAGCCGAGCUGAGAGGCUGAUCGGCCACACUGGAACUGAGACACGGUCCAGACUCCUACGGGAGGCAGCAGCGGGGAAUAUUGGGCAAUGGGGGGAACCCUGACCCAGCAACGCCGCGUGAGGGAAGAAGGCCUUCGGGUUGUAAACCUCUGUCAUUAGGGAAGAAGAAAGUGACGGUACCUAAUGAGGAAGCCCCGGCUAACUACGUG